CUAACUUAACUGUAUGGAGUUGGAACGUUUGCUUAAGUUUGCCGCUAGGGGCGCUGUUUCAACUCCAUACAAAUUUGAGUUA
rnacentral:pre_miRNA from 1 species